rnacentral:tRNA from 2 species
GCCACUUUAGUUUAAUGGCUAGAACGAGUGUCUUGUAAACAUUUGGUACUGGUUCGACUCCAGUAAGUGGCUCCA